rnacentral:misc_RNA from 1 species
GUGAAUCAUCAAAUUUUUGAACGCAAAUUGCGCCUUUUUCGUAUGGCAUGUCUGUCUUAGGUCACCAUUUAACAAAUAAUGGGCAUUUCGGGUGCACACGUUGAUGAGCUUUCCAAAAUUAUGUAUUUUUAUUUUUGUUGUCGCAUGAUAAACAGCGCGAUGCUUUUUGUCAGUUCGAGUGUAGUAAAAUUUUUUCUUUCUUGUGUUGUAGAAAGCGGUAUCGCUCGAUAGGU